AUUCCAGCUCCAAUAGCGUAUAUUAAAGUUGUUGCAGUUAAAAAGCUCGUAGUUGGAUUUCUGGCAGGAUGACUUUGCCCUCUGUAGAGUGCGCAAUGCUGUCCUACCAUCCUUCUGUUAACCCUGGAGGCCUUUAACAGCUUGUAGGGGGCUCAGAUAUUUUACCUUGAGAAAAUUAGAGUGUUUCAGGCAGGCUAGCGCCGGAAUACAUUAGCAUGGAAUAAUAGAAUAGGACUUAAGCCUCUUCUGUUGGUCUGAGGGGUGUAAGUAAUGAUUAAUAGGGAUAGUUGGGGGCAUUAGUACUUAACUGUCAGAGGUGAAAUUCUCGGAUUUGUUAAAGACUAACUUAUGCGAAAGCAUUUGCCAAGGAUGUUUUCAUUG
rnacentral:rRNA from 1 species